rnacentral:rRNA from 1 species
GAUGAACGCUAGCUACAGGCUUAACACAUGCAAGUCGAGGGGCAGCGCAGUGUAGCAAUACAUGGGCGGCGACCGGCGCACGGGUGCGUAACGCGUAUCCAACCUUCCCGUUACUCAGGGAUAGCCUUCCGAAAGGGAGAUUAAUACCUGAUGGUGUUCAAAUUCCGCAUGUUAUUUGAACUAAAGAUUUAUCGGUAACGGAUGGGGAUGCGUGACAUUCGAUAGUAGGCGGGGUAACGGCCCACCUAGUCUACGAUGUCUAGGGGUUCUGAGAGGAAGGUCCCCCACACUGGAACUGAGACACGGUCCAGACUCCUACGGGAGGCAGCAGUGAGGAAUAUUGGUCAAUGGUCGGAAGACUGAACCAGCCAAGUAGCGUGAAGGAUGAAGGUUCUAUGGAGUGUAAACUUCGUUUAUACGGGAAUAAAACCUCCCACGUGUGGGAGCUUGUAUGUACCGUAUGAAUAAGCAUCGGCUAACUCCGUGCCAGCAGCCGCGGUAACAC